rnacentral:pre_miRNA from 1 species
CCCUUCAUUCCACCGGAAUCUGUCUAUACAGAAACCAGAUUUCAGUGAAAUGAAGCCUG